ACGCUGGCGGCACGCCUAACACAUGCAAGUCGAACGAAGUAGCAAUACUUAGUGGCAGACGGGUGAGUAACAUGUAGGUAUCUGCCCUUUGGCCUGGAAUAACACGAGGAAACUUGUGCUAAUACCGGAUAAGUCUUUACGGAGAAAGCUUUAUGCACCAUUGGAUGAGCCUGCACUUGAUUAGUUUGUUGGUGGGGUAAUGGCCUACCAAGACUGUGAUCAAUAGCUGAUUUGAGAGGAUGAUCAGCCACAUUGGGACUGAGACACGGCCCAAACUCCUACGGGAGGCAGCAGUGGGGAAUCUUGCACAAUGGAGGAAACUCUGAUGCAGCGAUGCCGCGUGAGUGAAGAAGGCCCUUGGGUCGUAAAGCUCUUUCGUCGGGGAAGAAAAUGACUGUACCCGAAUAAGAAGGUCCGGCUAACUUCGUGCCAGCAGCCGCGGUAAUACGAAGGGACCUAGCGUAGUUCGGAAUUACUGGGCUUAAAGAGUUCGUAGGUGGUUGAAAAAGUUGGUGGUGAAAUCCCAGAGCUUAACUCUGGAACUGCCAUCAAAACUUUUCAGCUAGAGUAUGAUAGAGGAAAGCAGAAUUUCUAGUGUAGAGGUGAAAUUCGUAGAUAUUAGAAAGAAUACCAAUUGCGAAGGCAGCUUUCUGGAUCAUUACUGACACUGAGGAACGAAAGCAUGGGUAGCGAAGAGGAUUAGAUACCCUCGUAGUCCAUGCCGUAAACGAUGUGUGUUAGACGUUGGAAAUUUAUUUUCAGUGUCGCAGGGAAACCGAUAAACACACCGCCUGGGAAGUACGACCGCAAGGUUAAAACUCAAAUGAAUUGACGGGGACCCGCACAAGUAGUGGAGCAUGUGGUUUAAUUCGAAGAUACGCGCAGAACCUUACCAACACUUGACAUGUUCGUCGCGACUCUAAGAGAUUAGAGUUUUCGGUUCGGCCGGACGAAACACAGGUGCUGCAUGGCUGUCGUCAGCUCGUGUCGUGAGAUGUUGGGUUAAGUCCCGCAACGAGCGCAACCCUCACUUUUAGUUGCCAUCAUUAAGUUGGGCACUCUGAAAGAACUGCCAGUGAUAAGCUGGAGGAAGGUGGGGAUGACGUCAAGUCCUCAUGGCCCUUACGUGUUGGGCUACACACGUGCUACAAUGGUAUCUACAACAGGAAGCAAGACUGCGAAGUUAAGCAAAUCCUUAAAAGAUACCUCAGUUCGGAUUGCACUCUGCAACUCGAGUGCAUGAAGCUGGAAUUACUAGUAAUCGUGGAUCAGCGUGCCACGGUGAAUGCGUUCCCGGGUCUUGUACACACCGCCCGUC
rnacentral:rRNA from 1 species